rnacentral:rRNA from 1 species
UGGAAGUAAAAAGUCGUAAC